UCUUGAUGUUUUCUUUUGACUUCAUUUUUUCAUUAAUUAAUUUUCAUUUUCCAUCAGAAUCCCUUAUACCUACACAUCACCUGCAUGCUGGUACCUAACACAGAACUUGCUCCAACCAGACAAGUCUUUGGGUACAAAGGGCUGAUGUGCACAAGUCAAUCUGUUGUUCAUGCAUAUUAUACUCAUGUUUUAUAAUCACACUUCUUGUAAACAUUUUAAAGACCUCAUUGUUUUGUCUGAUUUCAUUGUUUUGCCUAUUUUUUCUCUUCUAGCUCCCCAUGCAUCUUAAGGAAAAGGGGCUAAAUUUAACUACUUUGUUCUAUAUUUCUCCUUAAUGUUUCUUAUUGUAUCCCAUAUAUUUUAUAUCUUCCCUUCCCUAAUACAAAAGUUCACCCCCUCAUACUCACAUGUACAUAAUAUAGCAACAGUAUUCCUUUCCUUCACACAUAUCAUGCCUCCAAAUACUUGACCAGUGGGUCAGAAUACUCCUGGUACUUCACGUAAAUUUCUUCCAUGAUUUGGAUGCGGUUCUGUUGCUCCUCUAAGGAUUCAAGUGUUUAAAGCUUGCCCCCUCCACCCUGGCCUGCCCCUGUGUGACAAUGCUGAGCCAUGUUAGAACCUUUCAAGGGUAGAGCCCAGCGGGAGAUCACGUUUAUUUCUUACCUCUGAAAGGGUUCCUGUAAUUCUCCUUGGAAUGCAGUGGGUUCUUGUGAGGGGGAGUUUUUGUAAAAGAUCAAGACUGCCCUUCCUUAGUUUCCCUGGCAUCCUAUCUCUCCUUGUAAUCUUUCCCUCUCAGAUGUGGUCCCACCAUGACAUCAUCUGCCACGACGUGUCACAGUCAAGGAGGCUGAACACUUACACAUUGGGCCGCUUUAUCUUGGAUUUUCAGCCUCCCAAAAAUGAGACGGGAUUUCACUAAGGCUCCAGAUUUUCUGAAAUGAAAUAUUGUAAGAUAAAUAUGUCUGCAACAGAAUAUUUUGAGCAUUGCUUUACAUGAAAAGAAAGUCCAGAGGUUAAUGAGAGUCAAUAUAGCAUUUAAAAUUCUCUUGUGGCUUUUGACUAAUUGUCUUUAAAAAUCCUCAUUGUGCAGAAGUUAAAUCUUUGUCAAAUAAAGAGAAUCUGAUUAUUUUGAUGACA
rnacentral:lncRNA from 1 species